GAAAAUGGUUUACAACGUUUUGAAACAAUCACACAAAUCGCUACAAAUCGCUUCAAACCGCUCCGAACCUCUUAAAAUCAAAAGCUGGUUCCAGCUAGCGUUUGCGGUUGCGGGCGGUUGCGGUAGGAUUCUUUUUUUUUUCUUUUUUUUUAAAACCAUGUAAAUACAAAAAUAAAAAUAUUCAAUAAAAAUUUUAAAUUGAAAUUAUAAAAAUACUAAAAUAUAUCUAUUAUAUUUUAAUUAAUAUUAUAAAAUUUUAAAAUAAAAAUAUUUUCUAUAAUUUUAAAAAAUUUAAAACUAUAACUUUCUAACUAUAAUUUUCAUAUUUAUUAUAAUAUUAUAAGUUAAACUAGUGAUGUCAGGCGGCUCAGGCCUCUGCCACGUGGAUGAUGUAACAAGGUAGAAUAUUAUACUGGUACUAUCUUAAGAUUGAUGUUUAGAUUUUAGAUUUUAUAUUUGCAAGAUUAAUGUUUUAGACUUUAAUGAAUGUACAUUGUUUAAAACCUAAAACAUAUAUUAAGGGGGUGAUUGGUUAGACUGUACUGUAAAAAAUUUACUGUAAAAUUUGUACUGUAAGUGUAUUGGCUGUAGCUGUACAUUUUACAAAUGUAUAUUUUUUUGCAGAGAUUUUUGCUGUAGUUAUGAUAAUUGUAGCUCUAAAUUAUUGGCUAUACUUUUGUAAAAUAAAACAUGAUUGGAUAAAAUGUGUUGUAGCUGUAAAAUUUUUUUUUCUGUUAAUUUAAAAAUACAACAAUUUAUAAAAUCUAUCCAAAAUAAAGAAAACCAUCUAAAAUAAAAAAAAAAUAGUCAAAGGAAAACCAUUAUUGUUCUUCUUUCUCACGUGAUUUGGAAAACGUAUUUGAAAAUUUAGUUUUCUAGACUUAAUGCUUUGAAGAAGAAAAGCGUAUUUAUAAAACAAGUGUUACGUUAGGGUUUUCCUUGCUUAAGUUAUCUAUUGAUUUUUCCUUUUUGUUUUUAGUUGAUAAUUUCUGUUUUUAAGUUUAUCUAACUUUAAAUUAUUAUUAGUUUAUGAUCAAGGAUUAUCAUGAUUCGAAUAUAUACACGUACCUCGUAUGUCGAUGGAAAAAUAUAACGUGAUUUUUUUUCAGUUAUGAGUUUAUCUUUUCUACAGCCCAAAUAAUAAGGAUGUAGGAUUUUUGUCUAAAACAAAUAGAAAAGUUAAAGUUUUAUUUUUAUUUUUGCUGUAUCUUGAAAAAAUAAAGCUACAACUUGAUUGGCAAAAAUUUAUAAAAUUUUGCUGUAGAUUUUAACUUAGAAAAUAAAGCUAAAGCAUGAUUGGUUAGGAUUAGUGCUUUA